rnacentral:rRNA from 1 species
GACGAACGCUGGCGGCAUGCCUAAUACAUGCAAGUCGAGCGAACAGAUGAAGUGCUUGCACUUCUGACGUUAGCGGCGAACGGGUGAGUAACACGUAAGGAAUCUACCUAUAAGCGGGGGAUAACAUUCGGAAACGGGUGCUAAUACCGCAUAAUAUCUUCUUCCGCAUGGAAGAAGAUUGAAAGACGGCUCUGCUGUCACUUAUAGAUGACCUUGCGGUGCAUUAGUUAGUUGGUGGGGUAACGGCCUACCAAGACGAUGAUGCAUAGCCGACCUGAGAGGGUGAUCGGCAACAUUGGGACUGAGACACGGCCCAAACUCCUACGGGAGGCAGCAGUAGGGAAUCUUCCGCAAGGGGCGAAAGCCUGACGGAGCAAGGCCGCGUGAGUGAAGAAGGCCUUCGGGUCGUAAAACUCUGUUAUAAGAGAAGAACAAAUUGUAGAGUAACUGCUACAGUCUUGACGGUAUCUUAUCAGAAAGCCACGGCUAACUACGUGCCAGCCGCCGCCGUAA